rnacentral:rRNA from 1 species
ACGGUGAAUAGUGGAAGGUCUCUGACCAACCACUAGGAUCAGUGGCGGACGGGUGAGUAACGCGUGGAUAACCUGCCUGUAAGACUGGGAUAACACCGGGAAACCGGUGCUAAUACCGGACGUGCUGUAGAGGGGGCAUCCUCUUUACAGGAAAGGACGUAAGUCCGCUUACAGAUGGGUCCGCGUCCCAUUAGCUAGCUGGUGGGGUAAAGGCCUACCAGGGCGACGAUGGGUAGCCGGCCUGAGAGGGUGGUCGGCCACACUGGGACUGAGACACGGCCCAGACUCCUACGGGAGGCAGCAGUGGGGAAUAUUGCGCAAUGGGCGGAAGCCUGACGCAGCGACGCCGCGUGGGUGACGAAGGCCUUCGGGUCGUAAAACCCUGUUGCAGGGGACGAAGGAAGUGACGGUACCCUGUGAGGAAGCCCCGGCUAACUACGUGCCAGCAGCCGCGGUAAAACGUAGGGGGCGAGCGUUGUCCGGAAUUACUGGGCGUAAAGAGCUCGUAGGCGGUAGCUCAAGUCAGCUGUGAAAACCGACGGCUUAACCGGAGGAUUGCAGUUGAUACUGGGUUACUUGAGGCAAGGAGAGGAAGGUGGAAUUCCCGGUGUAGCGGUGAAAU